GACGAACGCUGGCGGCGUGCUUAAUACAUGCAAGUCGAGCGGGGCUAUUAUGUUGGAUUCCUUCGGGAUGAAGAGAUUCUAACCUAGCGGCGGACGGGUGAGUAACGCGUGGGCAACCUGCCCUAAAGCCUGGGAUAACACCGGGAAACUGGUGCUAAAACCAGAUGACUUUAACUGAAGGCAUCUUAGGUUAAAGAAAGGAAACGCUUUAGGAUGGGCCCGCGUCCCAUUAGCUAGUUGGUGAGGUAACGGCUCACCAAGGCGACGAUGGGUAGCCGGCCUGAGAGGGUGGACGGCCACACUGGGACUGAGACACGGCCCAGACUCUUACGGGAGGCAGCAGUAGGGAAUAUUGCGCAAUGGGGGAAACCCUGACGCAGCGACGCCGCGUGAGUGAAGAAGGCCUUCGGGUCGUAAAGCUCUGUCCUCAGGGAAGAAAAAGAUGACGGUACCUGAGGAGGAAGCCCCGGCUAACUAC
rnacentral:rRNA from 1 species